ACAACAGAUGCUGGAGAGGAUGUGGAGAAAUAGGAACACUUUUAUACUGUUGAUGGGAGUGUAAUUAGUCCAACAAUUGUGGGAGACAGUGUGGUAAUUCCUCAAAGGCCUAAAAACAGAAAUAUCAUCUGACCCAGCAGUCCUGUUACUGGAUAGAUAUCCAAAGGAAUAUGCUUCUUUCUAUUA